AUCUGUGCAGACCAUCAAGAAUGACUCCGGGGCUCGUUAAUAAAAGUCAUGAUAAUGAAAACGAUUUAGAGGUUGGAACUUGGACAGUGUGCCGACAUUUUUGUACGCAGCUCAAAAUUUACAGAGCCUAUACUUGGCAAACAAUAACAUUGAGCAGCUUCCUGCCGGCUUUUUGGACAUUUUCCUCACUUAAGGUGGUUCGAUUUGAGAAAUAACAAACUGAAAACCUUUCCAACGACUGUCAAGGACCACCGAACUCUUGAAACUUUGCUGCUGGAUGACAACCAACUUUCUGCCCUCCCGAUGGAGUUAGGUGCGGUAUCAACAUUAAAAGGUCUCCAGGUUACGAACAAUCCUCUUGAAUAUCCACCGGAGAGAAUCGUGAGGAAAGGUGUCCAACACCUCAUACGGUUUUUGCGAGAGGAAUGGAGCAAUCGGGAUGAAAAGAAAAGCUCAAAGGUUGAAAGUACUAUGCCGGGAUGGCGGACAGACAUUUACAUUGAAAACAUGGAAUGCAACUCAGAGGAAACUCUUUUGCCUUCGCGACUCAAAAGGAAAAAGAACGUCACAAAAAAAAUUACAUCAAGAAGAAUCAAGUCAGCUAAAACUCCAUUAUUGGCUAUUGAGCACUACGUGAGGGUCAAAAAGUUGCUAAAAGCAAAACCGGAGACAAACUUAAAUUUAUUUGAAUUUUGGGACCAACUGACACCCUCUCAUCUAAUGGAGAAACUAUCUUAUUCUCAUCUUGCAAAACACGAAAGAAAGGAGGGGGAAAGUCAGAGUUCCUUCAGGCCGCUGGCGACUCCCAGUAAUAUCCAACAUGGGAACACCUUCAUAAUUCCAAACCGGCUGAAGUAUAGAAGGAAACGGAUGAUAUUGCCACGGAGGCCUUUGGGAGAUAAACUAAGAAGCAAGGAUGAUUUCGAAAGGGAUGUUCACGAUCGUCAUCUCGAAAGUUUGCGACGCCUCCAGCGGAAACUAACUCUGGAGACGCAGGAACGAAUCUUGCAGAGGGGCAAGAGCAGGGAGGCGUUGAGAAACUGGCGUUUGAAGAGCAAAAAACUGACGCGAAGAGACUCGAGAUCUCAAAUGCGGAAAAUUCUGCGCCAUGACCAGGAUUUCGAUCGAAAUCAUGUCGCCGGAGGAAGGACCUCCAGUGAAGAUUUCUUGAGGAAGUUAGACUCGGUGCGUGAAAAGUUCCAAAAGCUCACUUUGGAGAGACUCCGUGGAGGAGAGAGUUCUCUCGAGGUGGAACAGAAAUUCGCUGAACAGCGAUUGAAUAUGAUUCUCAACAUUCAGAGGGACCUUAAAGAACUCAAGCGGAAGGUGCAAUAA
rnacentral:lncRNA from 1 species